CAGAAAAACACCACAUUUAAGGUUGAUUAAGACGAUGUAUAAUACAGAACAAUGUCAUUGUUUAAAUCACACCACAAAUAAAUGAAUAUGGGUGUGUAUUCACACAUACAUACUCGCAAGUCAGUGCGUGCCUGCAAUUACACACAGAUAUGAGUCAGUGAAGGAGAGAGUGUGUGUAUAUUUAUAUACUCAGACAUGAGUCAGAGAGUGUGUGUGUGUUGAUUUGUGCAUGUACUUGUACUUAUAAUCUGAAAUUGAUGUGAUAUUUUUGAGUCGUAAAGUACGGCAGUAUGACAGUGAAAGUUUGGUGUGCUUUUUGAGAGCGGAUCUCGGAGAAAACUGCCACAUUUGUGGACACAGAAAAAUGCCACAACUCAACGACGCAUCGUCUCCGCUUCGGGUGCAACCAGACAACAAGUGCAACAGCAGCACUCCACGAAAGCCAUAUCCUUGUGAAUGGAAACAUGGGAGCCAAAGUGUGAAUGUAGCUUAAUGCCGCGGCAUUCGUUCAUGGCGUGGAUUGCGAACACACCUUUACUCCAUUUUGUCAUACUCAAACCACAGUUGAUCAGUCUGUUAUUUCUAUGACACACACUCACUCACUCACUCACUCAAAAUUUAGGAGCCCUGCGAAAAUCUCAAUGACUGGGUUCCUAUUAAGAGCAUUUCCACAUCAGGCUAAAGACACAUUCAAGGGAAACGGUCAUCGCAUAUGUUGUGCGUCGAACUUUCACGAAACCAACAGUCAUCGAUCAUAAUAUACGCUGUGGGACUCGAUCAUGGAUGCAGUUUGGGUUUCAGCUCACGACAAUGGUGAAUGCAAUGGAAGUGACGAUCUCCUCAGUGAGAAGAUGUGUAUGAUAGGUGAAAGCAUCGUGUGCUGUGAUGAAGCAGGGAGUUGGUUUUGGGCUUGAGGAGGACGUUGUAGCGAAGAGGAUUGGUUGUUGCUGCUCAGGGAGAUAGUUCCUUCUGGAAAUGGUUUGGUGACGCGGCGAUGAGUAGGAGGAGCAGACCCAUGAGUUGGGUUAACCGGCGGAGGUUCAUAAUGUGGACGUUGAAAGGAGUGGGUUAGGGAAGAUUAGGCAGGUGGUUACACAGGACUGGAGAUUAUGGAAAGCUUUUCCAAGGUAACCAUGGUCAGAGGUCCAACAUCUUGUUGAUUUGGGAUGGCUCGCUUCUGGUGCUAUGGCGACACAAGAGCCGAAAUGCGGACUGAAUCGACGCAUUGUCCUCUCGUAAGGUGCUGUAAUCAGGGUUUGAAGUGUAAUGGGUAGUAGGCGCAAUGCGUCUUUGUGGAUCGACAGAUGAUUCGUGUUGUUAGACCGAAUCUGGGCUCCUGAUUGCUGAAAGAUUUGGGCAGAGUGUGUUGGCGGUGUAGUGGAUUCAUGUUUUGCGAAUUCUGGCUAGUGUUUUUUUUUUGUAGGAUGUAAAAAUGGCUACUUUUAUGAGUGUUAAUUUGGCUCGAUGUUUUGGUGAAUUUUUGACUUGAGCUUAGUACCGAAGCUAGGAAAGGCAUAUGUGCAAAUUGAAAGGGCAAUGCAACCACUGCCAUGCCGAUUGAAUAAUCUUUUUAGUUAUUUUUUGCCGGACUGUACGAACACCAAGCAUGGUGAAGGGGCAAGAUCUGAUAAACUUGCUGCAGGAUGAGACGUUAGUAGAAAUCAUGAAAUAUUUGGACGGAAGGGGUAUCGACCGAGAUGCUUACUCGUUGGUUUGUAAAAGAUGGAGGACGCUGGAGAGUGCAUGUCGCCAUUUCUUAACCUUGGACGAGACGGGGCAGUCAGAUGCAUAUUUAGCAAAGUUGGUUCAAAGAUUCCCAAACCUGCGACAAGUUUGUGUAGACGAGGGAUUACCUGUUCCUGUACCUAUCAACGGCCGGCUCUCACAUCGUCAAACGCUUUGUCCUCAUAUGAUGAGGCCAUUUCAAUGGCCCGCUCUCACAUAGUCAAACGCUUUGUUCUCAUAUGAUGAGGCCAUUUCUUGUAAAGAUGCAGGCACGACAUUGCCCCGAAAGAGGAGGAGAAGUGGGCACCGCAUGGUGAUGAAUUGUGAAGAUGACAGAAACGAUAAUGGUUUGAGUAAUUUUUCAGAUAUGGGGCUUCGAUUUCUGGCGAAAGGAUGCCCAAUGUUGAGGGCUAUCCCCAAGAGUUCAUAUUCAAUUAGUUUACUUGACUCAUUUAUGUCAUUGGAUGCUGAUUUAGCAGAAUAGGAGAGGGUGCGUUAAUUGCAAUAGGUCAAGGAUGUCACCAACUGCGGUUGCUAAAUGUGAGUAGGUGCCAUCAAGUGGGUGAUGUGGAAUUAAGCAACAUUGCUCAAGGAUGCCUUCCUUUCAUGCAUGUUGACGUUAGUGUUUGUCAGGUACGUCUACUAUUGGACUUGAAUACAUCACGGCUUGAUAAUGUUUCUUGAAUUCCCAAUUGUCACAAUAGAAUAUACAGGAAUAAUGUUUGACGUUAUUAUCAUCCCCAUGAUUUCCUGAAAUGCAUUGAAACCUUGAAAUGGUG